rnacentral:lncRNA from 1 species
CAGUGAAUGCAAGUUUGCAGUUUUUAGAUAUAAGACUAUUUUUCAGGGAUGGUGGUCACAUGUGCUGGGCUUACCAGCCACGCUCUAAGAAGCCCCUUUUACCAUACGAUUCUUGCCAUUCAAAGUUUGUUAAGAGGGGAAUCGCGAAGUCAUGUUUGAAGUCUUCCUUAAGUAAGUCAUGCCACCACACGGUCCAGGAUAGUUUCACCUCCCAAGUGGCCAGACUGCAAGAAGCGGGCUUUCCGGACGUUCUGCUAAAGGCCGUAGCAGAGAAACUGUUGGAAACCUUUGGUAGAUGUACUGCGUCUCCACGGGCGGACACUACAUUAGGAACAGAAAGGCGAGGUUUUGUGGUUUUGCCUUAUGUCCAUAAACUUUCGCAUGGUAUCAAGAAGGUGGCCAGGAAAUUUGGCGUAGAUGUUUUUUGUUCAGCACCAUGUAAAUUGUCACGGGUGUGCGCCCUUACGAGUGUGCAGAGGAGUGGAAGCUGCGGCACAAAUCACAAACGCAAGUUUGUAGGAUGCAGAUCGGAAGUUGUACCGUAAUUGUCG